ACAUGUCAACCAUCAACAGUGAAGCAAUGUCUACGAGCAUGCUAGAGAGCGAACCAUACAUUGCUGAAAGAGGAGUACUGCUGAGGAGGUGCCCUUGUGGUCAAGUGGUCAACACGAAUGAUGCAAGCCAGAUACUAGGUUGGAAAGUGCGAAGGGACGUUUCAAUCCAGUGUGACCUACAAGAGAUGGCUCCCCUGCCUCUCCCGAGAGAAGUUUUUCCAUCAGCAGCAACUGUGGAGAGCAUAGCGACAAGGACAAGUUGCUACCAGGCUGGAAGUGUGCCCUCCGAGUUCGAGAAUGGGAUAGAACAUGUCACAGCCAGUACAGUGGGAGGUCAGCAGCUGUUUCAGUGCCAUCGCUGCGAGUACUCCACUCCUAAGCUUCAUAGGUUGACCUGUCAUUUGCAAUCACACAGCGCAGAGACCUUUCUAAUCUGAGGCCUGUCCAGCGGCAUUUAAGCGCCUGCACUCCUACAAAGCCCACAUGUGCAAACACACGGGAGAGUGCUCUACCAGUGCCAUCUUUGCCCGUUUACGACUUCCUACCGGACACCCUUGUUGGAUCACAAGAGAGCUCACUUGAACACCUCGUCUUUAGCAAACCUGAAUGUGCACAAGCUCAACCACAUAAGGGAUAUGCCUUUCAAGUGCAAAGUCUGCUAGCACUCUUGGUUACAAUAACAAGCAGUAUUUAAAAAGUCACAUGCGGCAACACUUGGAAUCGUAGCUAUGCCGGUGAUUGUAGCCAUUCAUGGAAGCAGCAUCCACCAUUGCCUGUUUUUGUACAUCUGAAUCUCUGCAUUCAUUGUGUUCAUUGUGCAUUAUAAUGGGAUGAACGUUUCAUACUUUGGGACCUGAAGAGGACAUCUAAUCAACAAGGCAGUCAUCUGCAUCACAUAGUGGAACAUUCAUAUACCAAACUCGGUUGUUAUCCAUAUGUUCUUCAGUCAUGCAAACGGUGUUUGACAUUCCCCUAAUCAUUUCCAUUCCCAUAUAUCUUGCCAGCGUGUGUUCAUCAAGAUGCUAUUACAAGCAAUACUGGAAGUUGCACCAGUCAUGCCACAUCUGAUGUACUGAAGUUAUGAAAAAACUAGUAGCUAAAGCAUGUCAAGUUUUGUCAUAUUGUUAAAGGUAUUAGCAGUCUUGGCUAUCCAUGCAACAAGCAGUGAAUGGGACUUUUGUAUGGUGGCAUUUUUAAUGCAAGAACACUUGUGUGGAGGGCGAAUGGUGGAAAAGUUUGUUUUUUUGCACAUAACUUGAAAAGUGUGUUGGGACUGUGAUAAGUGUUCUGUGCUUAAAGUUCUAUUUCAGUGUUAUCAAUAGGAAAUAAUAUAUUCCCAAAACAAAACCCUUAUGGUAUCGAGGUGGGCCAGGCUUGGGCUUGUUUUUUUUAUUAUUAAUAUGUAAAGUCUGGUGGACAUUGGGCGCAAGCAGCAGGCCCAGACCUGUCCUGAAAAUAUGGCCUGUGCCACACCUCGGAUGCCUGAUCAUAGUAGGUACCAUCUGGCCCAUGGUUGUGUGGCAUCUUGAUUGUAUACUUUAUAGAAUUUCAAAAAAUCACAAAGUUAAGCAUGAAGGUUGUCCCCACAUUCAGUAUGUAGCAGAAUGUACCCUGUAACGCAGUUCAUUGUGAUUGAGGAAUACGGCAUUCUAAAUUGAGCAUGGGCACCAAGAUUGAUUGCGAUGAUGAUAAAUUGGUGCUUCAAUAUUUCUCUCUAAAACUCUUUCGAAGGAUAACAGCACGAGUUUCAUUCUAACACAGCACAGGAUUGGGUAUGAAGGCUUGGUGGCACAGCUUAGAUGUCUGAAAAGCCAGUGUGUUCCUGUUCUAUUCCAUCCAUCCAGCAAAUAGAUUCUUGUAAGGGUUGGCUAUGUAGUGCAUUGCAGGGAACUAAGAUGAGAAGAUGCCAGAAGUACACUACCAAUUUUAAUUGCAUAAACGGUUUAUAAACCACUUUAGCAAGUACUAAUAAUUGCAGUAUGAUUGUCUGUUACCUCACAAAUCAAUUGCUGCAAAAAAUUUUCGCACAUGCCAAGAACGGGCAGAGUUAUUCCGAUUUCUCAUGUGUGACUGGUUCCUCUUUUCUCGGUGCACGAUGAUGCGCACACAAGUGUCGCCUAAUAAGUUGAAUGAGGUUUGAGGGAUUGUUGAACAGAAACUGAAGAAGAGCGUGCCAGAAGUAUCUAGAGAUAGCUGCAGGGUCGGACAUCUAACUCCUUUUGUAAAGAGUGGGAAAGGGUAUCGUGCGUUUCUUGCCGUUUUCCAGCGAUCGUGCAUACAUAGGCCAAACAAAUGGAUGCAUUAACAUUAGGUUGUUCCAACAGAGGCAAUCUUUGCUAGGAAACGUGUACUCACAUGUGCCCCAAUGUGUUGGGUAGUGCCAUUGCACACGUACCUUUCAUGAAGCUAAACUUCUAUUGACACACAGAGAUAAACCACAUGAGAAAUAAUUGAAGCAUAUAAUACCCCCCCCCAAAAAAAAGGGGGAGUGAACAAUGCAUUAGCGUGCCUUCAAUAGCCCCACAUGACAGUGAGCUUAGGCUCUUUGAUAGAACAAUAUCUUAACUUUUAUGCUCUUGGAGAGUACAUGGGGGGUAGGGGGAGUAUCAGGUUUUUUUUUUUUUUUUCCAUUGUUCAAAAUGUCACCUGACCGGCUGUUUUCUUGCUUUAAUGUGGUCACAUGGGUGUGAAGGCUGAAGUGUUCAUUUUUUUUUUUUCACUCAUGUUUUCCAAUAAAAAUUCAGUUGCGAGUGAG